rnacentral:lncRNA from 1 species
CGGGGGCGGGAGCGGGACACCGCGCUGCACCGAAUCAGCUGGAGCAUCACCCAGCCUUCUCUCCUGAUUUGGGAAGAGAUAAUGCAAGGGACCCUGAGGAAGGUGAAGAAGGAGGUGCAAAGAGGAGCUAGACAGAUAGUAUAUGAUUUACUGCCAGUCAGAAAAUGAGAUCAAGAGACCUGAAGCCUGUGAAGCGGCAUAUGAGCAAAUCAAGAUACAUUAUGGAAACCAUUUGUGCCACCAGCUGUGGCACAAAACUAGAGCAAGGUAAAUAGCCUCUUGGAAACCAUCCUAAGUCAGCAAGACUGAAGCAGCAUCUGAUAUAAUAAGUUAAUACUUCCAGCCUAAGAAUUCAGAGAAAAAAAAAAAUUAGAAGAAGAAAAAAGUGGCUUUCACAAGUAAUGGGAUCAAGCUGAUAGGUCCAGUGAUGGUGCAUUGUACUCAUGGAUAUAAUCAAAUACUGCAGAGGGUUGUAAGUCCAAUA